CUGGUGGUAGCAUACUACGGGGUGUUUUAAAGGUGAAUCAAUUUAUUGAAGUUCGCCCGGGUAUUGUUGUUAAGGAUGAAAGUGGUAACAUCAAGUGCACCCCAAUAUACUCUAGGAUUGUUUCUUUGUAUGCGGAGCAAAAUGAGCUGCAAUUUGCAGUCCCUGGAGGUCUCAUUGGGGUUGGCACGACCAUGGAUCCCACUUUGACUCGUGCUGACAGAUUGGUCGGUCAGGUUCUUGGGGAAGUUGGAUCACUUCCUGAUGUUUUUGUUGAGCUAGAGGUAAACUUUUUCCUUUUGCGGCGGCUCCUAGGUGUGAGGACAAAAGGAUCAGAAAGGCAGGGAAAAGUAUCGAAACUGGCCAAGGGGGAGAUUUUAAUGUUGAACAUAGGAUCCAUGUCUACGGGAGCUAGAGUACUUGCAGUGAAGAACGAUUUAGCAAAGUUGCAGCUUACAUCUCCUGUUUGCACCAGCAAAGGGGAGAAGAUUGCUCUAAGUCGUCGAGUCGAGAAGCACUGGCGUCUUAUUGGCUGGGGUCAAAUUCAAGCUGGAACGACUCUCGAUGUCCCUCCCUGCCCCAUUUGAGUUGGUUGUGGAAAAAAGGUAAGAAUCAAGAAGAAAAGCGAGUGAGAAGAGUGAAUUGCAGAACUAAGAAAAAUGUGCAAAGUUAGACAGUUUGGUGGAACCAUUUUUGUUAGGUGGAGGAGAAAACACCAUUUGGUUUCUCAUUGUUUAUUACGUUAUCUUUUUCACAUUUUUAUCCCCCGAAGUCUUUCUGAUUUUUACUAUUUUUAAGUUUCGAAUCAUGAAUGUGACAUGUGAGC
rnacentral:misc_RNA from 1 species